GACGAACGCUGGCGGCGUGCUUAACACAUGCAAGUCGAACGGAAAGGCCCUGCUUUUGUGGGGUGCUCGAGUGGCGAACGGGUGAGUAACACGUGAGUAACCUGCCCUUGACUUUGGGAUAACUUCAGGAAACUGGGGCUAAUACCGGAUAGGAGCUCCUGCUGCAUGGUGGGGGUUGGAAAGUUUCGGCGGUUGGGGAUGGACUCGCGGCUUAUCAGCUUGUUGGUGGGGUAGUGGCUUACCAAGGCUUUGACGGGUAGCCGGCCUGAGAGGGUGACCGGCCAAAUUGGGACUGAGAUACGGCACGGACUACUACGGGAGGCAGGAGUGGGGAAUAGUGCACAAUGGGCGGAAGCCUGGUGCAGCAACGCCGCGUGCGGGAUGACGGCCUUCGGGUUGUAAACCGCUUUCGCCUGUGACGAAGCGUGAGUGACGGUAAUGGGUAAAGAAGCACCGGCUAACUACGUG
rnacentral:rRNA from 1 species